UUCUCUCUCUCUUUGUCUCUCUUUGUCUCUCUUUCUCUCUCUAAGAGGUCUGCUGGGGAGGAGGUAGGAUGGACAAUAUUCAGUCAAACCUAUCCCGAUAAAAAGUGAAAAUGAGAGAAGCAGGGUCAUGGUGAUAGUGAUGGAGACAGCUUCGACAACUUCUGUGGCCAUGCGAUCACGCUGACUCCGACCGUAAAGAGGGUGGGCUUUAGCCUGGACAUGAGUGACAGGCAGUCGGACAAAUCAGACAACGGGGAGCAGAAUGGGAACAACAACAACGUUGCCGUGGGGAUGACCCCUGAGCCGCCGGGCCUGACCUUUGACCCUGUAGGUCCAGGUGACGUCUUCACUGAAAUCAGCCUGGAUAUAUAGAAGACGCACACACAUUGUUGUAAAAUUGUAAUGUUCUGUUGUGGUUGAUUUAUAGAUGAAUGUAAAAAGCUUCAAAUAACUUUUACAUCCCUAUUUUUUAUGCUGUAAAUUUUUGAUACCGUAAAUUUUUGAUACUGUAAGUUUUUGAUACCGUAAAUUUUUGAUACCGUAAAUUUUUGAUACUGUAAGUUUUUGAUACCGUAAGUUUUUGAUACCGUAAAUUUUUGAUACUGUAAGUUUUUGAUUCCGUACAUUUUUGAUACCGUAAAUUUUUGAUACUGUAAGUUUUUGAUACCGUAAAUUUUUGAUACCGUAAAUUUUUGAUACUGUAAGUUUUUGAU
rnacentral:lncRNA from 1 species